rnacentral:rRNA from 1 species
UAGUCCACGCCGUAAACGAUGUCAACUAGCCGUCGGGCUCAUUAUAAGGGUUUGGUGGCGCAGCUAACGCAAUAAGUUGACCGCCUGGGGAGUACGCCGGCAACGGUAAAACUCAAAGGAAUUGACAGGGGCCCGCACAAGCGGUGGAGCAUGUGGUUUAAUUCGAUGCAACGCGAAGAACCUUACCUACCCUUGACAUCCUCAGAACUUGUUAGAGAUAACUUGGUGCCUUCGGGAAUUGAGUGACAGGUGCUGCAUGGCUGUCGUCAGCUCGUGUCGUGAGAUGUUGGGUUAAGUCCCGCAACGAGCGCAACCCUUGUCCCUAGUUGCCAGCACAUAAUGGUGGGGACUCUAGGAAGACUGCCUCCGUAAGGAGUGAGGAAGGCGGGGACGACGUCAAAUCAUCAUGGCCUUUAUGCCCAGGGCUACACACGUGCUACAAUGGCAAGUACAGAGGGCUGCUAACCUGCGAAGGUAUGCUAAUCCCAGAAAGCUUGUCCCAGUUCGGAUC